AUGAAGCCCGCCGCGCAGCCGGUCACCGGCGUCCCCGUCGGCGGCGCCCCCGCCCCAGCCGCCUGGUCCUCCGGCCUCUUCGACUGCUUCGACGACUGCGGCCUCUGUUGCCUGACGUGCUGGUGCCCUUGCAUCACGUUUGGCAAGGUGGCGGAGAUCGUGGACAGGGGGUCGACGUCGUGCGGGACGAGCGGCGCGCUCUACGCGCUCCUGUGCUCGCUCACGGGAUGCCAGUGGAUCUAUUCCUGCACCUACCGCUCCAAGAUGCGCGCCCAGUACGCGCUCCCGGACGGGCCCUGCUGCGACUGCUGCGUCCACUUCUGCUGCGAGCCGUGCGCGCUCGUCCAGCAGUACAAGGAGCUCAAGGCCCGCGGCUACGACCCCGAGAUCGGCUGGCACCUCAACAUGGAGCGCCGCGCCGGCGCCGGCGCCGUCAACCCGCCCGGCGUUCAGGGGAUGGGCCGCUAG
rnacentral:rRNA from 1 species